rnacentral:rRNA from 1 species
UACGAAGGGGGCUAGCGUUGUUCGGAAUUACUGGGCGUAAAGGGCGCGUAGGCGGACCUUCAAGUCAGGGGUGAAAGGCCUGAGCUCAACCUGGGAACUGCCUUUGAAACUGGAGGUCUUGAGUCCGGGAGAGGAUGGCGGAAUUCCCAGUGUAGAGGUGAAAUUCGUAGAUAUUGGGAAGAACACCGGUGGCGAAGGCGGCCAUCUGGUCCGGCACUGACGCUGAGGCGCGAAAGCGUGGGGAGCAAACAGG